UAUUAAAAAUUUCAUCCAUUUUUACUAUUAAAAAUUGACAUGGCUGACAAAAUAACCAAACAGUUACACGUGACAUGCCAUUUGUAUCUCAUUCUAACAUACAAGCACCAGUUUUUAACAAUAGAAAUUUGCUUUUUGAUC
rfam:Gossypium arboreum cultivar AKA8401 contig_41529_5, whole genome shotgun sequence.